CGCCGCCAGCACGGACCCCUUGAAACAGCGGCUGUUGGGGGCGGCAGCGCAGUGGGCAGCCUGUCCCCUGGAGAGCUGGCACCGUGCGUACUGCAGAGCAGGAGUUAUGGGGAAGAGGCUGCAAAGAUACAGAAUCUCUACACCUAUGUUUUGCCAGUCAGGAGGCGAGAGCAAUGCAUUUACCAGUAAAUUUAUGGCAGGCUAUUUGUGGUGCAUGGCACAGGGAGCAUCCCUCUCCCCAAGGAAUGGCAAAGCCUCUGUGAGACACGAAUGCAGACCUGGAUGCGCGUGGGCAGAUGCAAGGAGGGUCACUGGCAGCCCCAUAUGUGCUGUUCUGUACACAAGAGUUUCGAAGAAUUGAGGACACCCGCGUCUAAAAUGCAGGUGACAAAUGGUUUUCACAUGAGGAAUGUUGGUUUGCCAUUAAGGUGUGUAUUUGAUUUGAUUUAAGCAAGAGGUAACUACAUUCAAAAUCACACUACCAAUUGCAGGGCUGUAAUUCAGAGAAUGGAAGCAUUUUCUCUAUUGAAGCUCUGAAAAAUAAAGUAGCAUCA